GGGCCUAUAGCUCAGCUGGGAGAGCGCUUCAAUGGCAUUGAAGAGGUCAUGAGUUCGAGUCUCAUUAGGUCCACCU
rnacentral:tRNA from 1 species